UUGCUCCGCCUCUCAAGAAUAAAUAAACAUUAAAAAAAAAAAACUUGUAUUAAAAUGUAAAUGGAAUAUCUGACGAUUUCCUACUGGGGCCCUUCCCCCACCACACUUGGAUAAAGUCUGAACUCCUUAUUGUAGGCUCCUGGGCCCUCUGUGGUCUGGCCUUAAUCACAUCCAUUUACCACUGCUCCUCCUGCUUGUUCUGCCCCAGCCACACUGGCUUUCUUGCGAUUCCUGGAAAACACCAGCUCACCUUGCCUCAGGGCCUUUGUGCAUGCUGUUCCUGAAACUUGAAAGGCACCUUCACCGGAACUUAACAUGAUCUGUGCCUUCGUUCCUGGUGUCUGCUCAAACGCAAACCGCUUUGGAAAGGCCUCGCUUGACCACUUCACCUGAACCCCCACCCCCCCGCUCACACCCCCCAACCCUGCUCUCUUCUGUUAACUCUAUUUCUCUUCAUAGAUUUAACAGCCCCUGAGAUUACACUGUCUGCUUACUGAUUGGCUUACGAUCCACUAGAGCCGUAGCUCCCUGAGAGCAGAGACAAUGCCAUGCUUACAGCUCUUCCCCCACCGCCCUCAGCGCUUGGGGAUUGUGUGGAGUGAACAGGAUGCGAACAGAAGGGAGGACUGCAGCUAUGACUCCUUUAUCACUUCUGGGAAAGGUAACAGGAAUCCGGGGCAGGUGACGGCUGGCCUUCCAAGUGCACGUUCUCCUCUGCGUCACCUCAGGGCAAAGCAGGAGACGCUGAUGCGAGCACACGCGUGUCACUACACCAAACAAAUAGCUUGACUCUGGGUCCAGAUAUCCCUUCACAUCAGAUUGCUUUCCAUGUAUUUCUUUUUAGUUUUGAAGUGUAGUCUCGUUCUUCCUUUUAAAGAGGUCUCGUUCAUUUCACCCCUGAAGGCCAAGUCAGCCAUCUUUAUUUUGUUCCCACAUUCCAAACAAAUCCACCUCAUGCAAAGCCCAAGAUGAUGUUUUUUUUUUUUUUUAGUCCCCUUGGAUUUUCAGUCAGGAAAGUGAGUCAUGACAAUAACAAGGAAGGCUUGAGGUAAAAUAGAAUUCCUUUUCUUGCGACCUCUACUGGAGUGCGUUGGCACGGGGCAACAUGGAGUUCAAACUAAGCCAUUAUGUUCUUGACAUGUAUCUGUGUGUUCCUGUCACAGAGCUUCUCUGAAACAAGUCCUAGGGAGGCAGAAUCCCUAAACAGAAAGCCCACGAGCCUUUCUAGCCUGAGUCUCAAGACAUUGGCCCAUUGCAAGGUGCCUGGUGUCUGACAAAGAAAAGGCUGUUCGAAGGAAAGCCUUUCCUGAGUGUUUCUAGUGGCAUGUGGAAAUCAACUUUAUCUUUUCCCCUCUUGUGUGGGGGCGGGAGGGGGGGGAAUUGGCUGGGAAGAAACUGUAUUGUGUCCUUUUUUGCAUGUGAAGGUCCAUCUGCCUGUUAGUGGUGAGGAGACCACUGAGGGGAGCAGAAACCGAGAGACAAAGGUUCUUUGCUUCCUUUACUGAAAAAAUAGUCGUCAGUUGCUUUUCUGUUUUGUUGAAAGGAGAAACACCUUUCUCUGUUUUAAUCAUCUUCUUCACAGUAAAUGACUGGAAUCGUUCUCUUGAAUAAGAGGAUCUCCCCUCAGAAACAGAAAUUGUGGUCUCUGGGCAGAUAGAAUAUACAACUGGACAUCAGCACCAACUGUGCAAAGGUACCGUCUACCUGGACACAGAAAUUGGCACCUGCCCGGGAGCUCAGUCUGUUCAACAGAGUAAUUUGUCAACAGCAAUGACCAACAUUUAUCAUAGACUGUACUUAUCUCUGAGUAGGACUCGAUGAGGAGAUACAAAAUGGUAGCAAACACCCCCAAGCAUUUGAUGCUCUUUCUGUGUAUAAGAGCCAAGGGCCCUUCUCUACUUGGGAAUUUUUACUAGAUGUGUUUUCCUCCCAUUCAUUUCUCUAACCAGACGUUGAGCCUUGUAUUCAGGGGAAGGUACAGAAAAUUCCUUUGUGGUUACUACAAUAGUAACCUGGCAUCCUGAAGAUGAAAACAAUAAAUCACACAUAAACAGCACAUGUUAUUACUGACCAAAUCACGACCCAGUUAGUUCCUUUUCAAAUUGAUGCAUUAUAUUGACUCUCAGGGUCUCAUUUGGCAGUGGCUUUCAAAGGCACCUGGCCAUCCUGGGCAGCAGGAUGGCAUCUGAAGUUAAUUCUAGAAGUAAAGUUCUUCUGAUGUCGUCAGGAGACUCGUGCUCACAUUUUGAGACCAGGGGAAAGGCACGGAAGGGGCGGUUUUUUAUCUGCCCGCGCCUCCCUUUCUCGUGUGUACCCCCAAACAACAUUUUUCUCCCUCGUUUUUCAUCUGGCUUUCUCAUUACUCUCCCUCCUGAACGUUUUUCUUUCAUCCGAUGCACUCUGUGCCUAACACCGAGCCGAACAAGAGAGAGUCUUCUCUUUGCCACAGGGCCAUGAGUUGAUCCCUUUGCCUUGACCUGCUCAGAGCUGCCCAAAGGAUGGUAUCACUGCAGAAGGUUUUUUGUUUUGUUUUGUUUUGUUUGAUUUUUGGUUUUUUUAAUUGCAGCAUUUUUGACAUCAAAUGUCUAAGACCACUCAGGAUAAAUUCUCUUCUGGUCGGUGGUUUUUUUUUUUGUUUUUUUUUUGUUUUUUUUUUUUUGUUUUUUUUUGUAAAGAGGAUUUGGCAGAAUCAGACUUUUCUUCCCUUUCUCCCCAUCACAUCAGAUUCUGAAAUAGACAAACAACUGAGUCACAGCCAACUCUGCAGUCAAGAUAGUCCAAAAAAUUCCGGCUCUUGGUUAAAUGUGUCCUGCAUAAUUCAUUUCUCUGACAUAUCUGGGUGUCCUCUCCCCCUCCCUGUUCGUUUCCACAGUGGGGAGGUACUGUGAUGCCCUCGGCCCUGCUUCAGUCUACACC